rnacentral:rRNA from 1 species
GAUGAACGCUAGCGACAGGCUUAACACAUGCAAGUCGAACGAAGCAUAUGGACGGAAGUUUUCGGAUGGAAGACCAUAUGACUGAGUGGCGGACGGGUGAGUAACGCGUGGGUAACCUGCCUCAUACAGGGGGAUAACAGUGAGAAAUUGCUGCUAAUACCGCAUAAGCGCACAGGACCGCAUGGUCCGGUGUGAAAAACUCCGGUGGUAUGAGAUGGACCCGCGUCUGAUUAGCUAGUUGGUAAGGUAAGGGCUUACCAAGGCGACGAUCAGUAGCCGGCCUGAGAGGGCGACCGGCCACACUGGGACUGAGACACGGCCCAGACUCCUACGGGAGGCAGCAGUGAGGAAUAUUGGUCAAUGGGCGAGAGCCUGAACCAGCCAAGUAGCGUGAGGGAUGACUGCCCUAUGGGUUGUAAACUUCUUUUAUAUGGGAAUAAAUGACAUUACGUGUAGUGUUUUGUAUGUACCAUUAUGAAUAAGCAUCGGCUAACUCCGUGCCAGCAGCCGCCGUAAUAC